rnacentral:rRNA from 1 species
UGCAGUCGAACGGCAGCACGGAGCUUGCUCUGGUGGCGAGUGGCGAACGGGUGAUUAAUAUAUCGGAACGUACCCUAGAGUGGGGGAUAACGUAGCGAAAGUUACGCUAAUACCGCAUACGAUCUAAGGAUGAAAGUGGGGGAUCGCAAGACCUCAUGCUCGUGGAGCGGCCGAUAUCUGAUUAGCUAGUUGGUAGGGUAAAAGCCUACCAAGGCAUCGAUCAGUAGCUGGUCUGAGAGGACGACCAGCCACACUGGAACUGAGACACGGUCCAGACUCCUACGGGAGGCAGCAGUGGGGAAUUUUGGACAAUGGGCGAAAGCCUGAUCCAGCAAUGCCGCGUGAGUGAAGAAGGCCUUCGGGUUGUAAAGCUCUUUUGUCAGGGAAGAAACGGUGAAAGCUAAUAUCUUUUGCUAAUGACGGUACCUGAAGAAUAAGCACCGGCUAACUACGUGCCAGCAGCCGCGGUAAUACGUAGGGUGCAAGCGUUAAUCGGAAUUACUGGGCGUAAAGCGUGCGCAGGCGGUUUUGUAAGUCUGAUGUGAAAUCCCCGGGCUCAACCUGGGAAUUGCA